rnacentral:lncRNA from 1 species
CUUGUGUGUUUUAUACAUACAUUUACUACAUUUUUAUGAAAACAGAAAGAAGGUAAGCAGGCUACAUUUCCUACUCAAGAAAGAUAUUCCCAGUGAAAAUUCCAAAAGAUAGUUUGAAGAAACAAACCUAGAGCAAUGGAGAUCUUGAGAUUUGUGUCCAUAUGUGGAUCCCAAGAAGAACUAAGGAUGAGUUUAGGAACUUCAGGCACUGCUGUUUCAUUUCUUACACUUAUGGUGAUAUGAAUAAUUUUGCAAUUUAAGCUUCUAAACUGCUAAUUUCAUACUGCAUGCUUUCUCAGUAGUAGGGGGAAUUAGUACCUUGUCAGCAGAAUGUUUUUAAAGAGUUGUCCCUUGAAAUAAUAUUAUUUACUGUUUGUAUAGAAUUAUAUCUUACGGAUUCAAUAUAGUUCUGACAAGCUUGAUUAAAUAAUAAUGUACAAAUGUGAAGUGUAUUAGCUCUGUUCAGUGCUUCUAUUAAAAGUAAAUAAAUCAGUAAAGCAACUGAAAAUAGAAAUGACUAAUUACUAGAUUUACUUUUGAUAGCUGAAGGCAAAUGGAGAGUCAGAAUGUUGGAAUGUGCUUGUAGGUGUGGAGACCUUCGGAAGAAAUGGUGAGGAGGGAGAGGUGGACACCUGCUCAAAGAAGAUUUUGCUGCCAGGGAGAAGCUGUAACGUGGGAAAGAAUUCGUCCUCGUGCAGGAUGCUGUACUGGGAAUGACAGGCAACCAUUUGCUGUCUCACUGUCGGUGCCUCAGGAGUCAAGCUGCAUCAAGAGAGUUCUUCACAGAGCUGUUUCUAGGAACUCUUUAGUUAGAUUCUUGAAUCAAAAGGUAAGAUUGAAGAGGAAUGUAGGCAAUUUUCCAUGUUAGUGGAAGUACAUGGAGCUGUAAAUGGAACUGUUCUAGUUGUUUAAUAAAAUAACGA